AUUGAACGCUGGCGGCGUGCUUAACACAUGCAAGUCGAGCGGUAACGCGGGGGCAACCCUGGCGACGAGCGGCGAACGGGUGAGUAAUGCUUCGGGAUCUUCCUCGUAGUGGGGAAUAACUUGGGGAAACUCAAGCUAAUACCGCAUACGAACUACGGUUGAAAGCGGGGGAUCGCAAGACCUCGCGCUAUGAGAUGAGCCGAAGUCGGAUUAGCUAGUUGGUGGGGUAAUGGCCUACCAAGGCGACGAUCCGUAGCUGGUCUGAGAGGACGACCAGCCACACUGGGACUGAGACACGGCCCAGACUCCUACGGGAGGCAGCAGUGGGGAAUAUUGGACAAUGGGCGCAAGCCAGAUCCAGCGACGCCGCGUGUGUGAAGAA
rnacentral:rRNA from 1 species